GACAGAGGAUGCAAGCGUUAUCCGGAAUGAUUGGGCGUAAAGCGUCUGUAGGUGGCUUUUCAAGUCCGCCGUCAAAUCCCAGGGCUCAACCCUGGACAGGCGGUGGAAACUGCCAAGCUGGAGUACGGUAGGGGCAGAGGGAAUUUCCGGUGUAGCGGUGAAAUGCGUAGAUAUCGGAAGGAACACCAGUGGCGAAAGCGGCUUCCUGGUCCAGCAUCGACGUUCAGGCACGAAAGCGUGGGGAGCAAACAGG
rnacentral:rRNA from 1 species